GAUGAACGCUGGCGGCGUGCCUAAUACAUGCCAGUCGAGCGAACAGACGAGGAGCUUGCUCCUCUGACGUUAGCGGCGGACGGGUGAGUAACACGUGGAUAACCUACCUAUAAGACUGGGAUAACUUCGGGAAACCGGAGCUAAUACCGGAUAAUAUAUUGAACCGCAUGGUUCAAUAGUGAAAGACGGUUUUGCUGUCACUUAUAGAUGGAUCCGCGCCGCAUUAGCUAGUUGGUAAGGUAACGGCUUACCAAGGCAACGAUGCGUAGCCGACCUGAGAGGGUGAUCGGCCACACUGGAACUGAGACACGGUCCAGACUCCUACGGGAGGCAGCAGUAGGGAAUCUUCAGCAAUGGGCGAAAGCCUGACGGAGCAACGCCGCGUGAGUGAUGAAGGUCUUCGGAUCGUAAAACUCUGUUAUUAGGGAAGAACAAAUGUGUAAGUAACUAUGCACGUCUUGACGGUACCUAAUCAGAAAGCCACGGCUAACUACGUG
rnacentral:rRNA from 1 species